UCUCCCAUAUUCUUCUUCCCCGACUAAAUAAUCCGGACGUUUUGGUUGGUUUUAUUAAGCGGGUGUAUACCGUAUUAUCCUAUCCGACCGGUUAAAUUAAUCCGGUGCUUAUUUAGUACGAGUGAACGCCAAACACCCGGGUCCGUAUAACUAAUCAUAUCCGAUCCUUUAUCCGAUUUGCCAAACAGGGCCUUAGCGUAUUCGACAUUCCGAGUCGCGUGGUGUACUCCGUUUGUGCAAAAUCAAUAUCUGAAUAAUACUUUUGAAUGUUGAAUUAGAGAAAUGUUCAAAUGUGAUUAGUAGAACUAAAUAAUACAUUCACACGUACAAGUUUGACUAACUCGGACGAAGGCGGAGGCGCCUAUUCAGGAUUUACGCUAGGAAUACCUAUGAUUGGAUCUCUUCAAAACUAAUUUUUUCGAUUAAACUAUUUCUUGAUGUAUUUAACUGUUUUGAAGGUAGUAUUGGAUGAGACUUAUGUAGAAUUGGUUAGAUGACCAUAUAAUUGAAUCAUCCAUAUUGGUGAUUUAUUUUCACCACAUGGUCUUUCAUAUAUCUUGUAUAGCUAUCUUCGGUCGUAGGAUACUUGUUGGUGUUCAUAUGUUUCUAGUAGACACUAGCAAUGCAUAGGUAGACGUCAUGUAUACUUGCAUUCCAUACUUAUGCUAGUAGAUGCUAGUAUUAUUAUUGUUUGGUCAUGUAUGAUUUCUGAAUUUAUGAUUUUGAUUGUGGUUUCGUUUAACAUAUAUUGUAGUAGAUAUUAGUAUGUAAUUGUACACUAUACAUGUUUUCUAAAACGGGGGUUAGUAUGUUCAAAAUGAUUUAGAGUCUAUAAAUAAUUUGUGCCCCCUCAGGACCUAGAGAUAACAAGACAACUAUUGAGGAAGACAAGUGGGCUUUGCAGUAGUGCGAACUCUCUACAGAGUAGGGUAGUUUUACUUAUGCUUUAUCUUUUAUCUAGUUGUAAUAAUAUGCAUGAUUGUACUUUUUUGGUUAUGCAUGACACAACAUGUACAUACAUUUGUGGUUUCUGUUGUAUGCACUACUAAUAUGUUCUGAACAAUGUGAUAAUAAUGGUUUAAAUCCUAAUGUGUCCCCAAGUAGAGAGGUUGUAUUGGAACUCAAGGAUAUUUUUUUAAUAUUAAUAAUAAUGAGCUUCUCAGUUUGAAUUUAUUCACAUCUUAAUUUCUAUACUCAUAGCUUCGUCGUUAAGUUGAUGGUAUUUUGUCACCUUACGGUGAGGUUAUUGUCAAUUUAGUGAUGACUAGCACAUCAUCACCUUUUUAACUAGUUGGUUAUUGGGUUGGGGCGUGUCAUGUUAGAAUGAGUAUGAGAUAGAGAAGUUUCAGAGAACCGGCUAUGGGUAUUUAGUUUGGUAGAAAAGUCUUAUUGACAAGAGGAUUGCUAGUCCUUAAUGAAGAAAGGUUUUGCAUAGCAUUAAGAUCAGUUCUUGCGGAACAAGGAAAGCAAGUAUUUGUUUUCUAUAAGGAUUUUAAUGGGGAAUCCUUUUCUGGUAUGGAAAAGAUUAUAUGUAUAUAUAGUGGUCUCUUCUCUCACAGAAUACACUGUCAUAUAGAGACUUAAGCCUAUUAUAAGUCGAGCUCUUGAUUUUCUAGGAGAGAGAAGAAGGUUCACUGAAGGCUUAGCUUUAUGGCUUCUAGUUCGGGAACUUUUGCAGGUAUGUUUUCUUCUUUUUUCACUCACACACAAAUUCUGGUUAGUUCUUAUUAGGUUGUAGUUCAUGUUUUAAUCUUGGUUAGUAUUUUAAUUCUUACAUGUGGCAUCAGAGCCACAAGAUUUAUAAACAUGAGUUCAAUCGGUAGAGAUCAAACGUUUGUGUUAUCAUUCUAUGUAUAAAAAAAAAAAAUUUACUCUUGCUCUCAUGAAGAAUCAAAGUCUGGUUUUGGAGAUUGUAAAAGAAGUGGUGAUGGAAACAACAAACUAACGCCCUUUUAAAAAAUAAAAAUAAAAAAAUAAAAAUAAACUGUUGGUAUCCCUAAACCACUGCCCAAUGAGGGUUUUCUCGGAUUAGAGUCAGUUUUAAUUCCUUUCAUGAACAAUGAUCUGGGUUUUUCCCUUAAGUGCUAAAAGCUUCUGUUUUCAAAUUCUAAAUCGCUUCCGCUGUUCUAUUGGUGAAUUUGAAAUCAGUGAUUACAAGAACUUCUGCAGGAUCUGCAAUAUCAUUAAGGACUAUGAACUUGGCCAAUAUUCCCAUUCUCACUGGGGGAAGCAACUACAAGAAGUGGAGACGAGAGAUUGGACUGUUGUUGACACUUAAUGAGUUUGAUGUUGCAUUGGAUACUCCCAAACCAAUUCUGACUGAUCAAUGUACACAGGCUGAGAAAGCAGAUGCAGAGAGAUGGUUCAUUUGAUGCUUUUAUAACAGUUAGUCUGUUCAAGCAAUUGUUAUUGAAUUGUUGGUUCAUACAUUGUUUUGGAGCAAUUGAUUGUCUUUAAAUCUUGCUGUCAAUGUUAUGAAAUAGUGGGAGCAAAUUUAUACA